ACUCCUACGGGAGGCAGCAGUAGGGAAUCUUCGGCAAUGGACGAAAGUCUGACCGAGCAACGCCGCGUGAGUGAAGAAGGUUUUCGGAUCGUAAAACUCUGUUGUUAGGGAAGAACGUUGUGUAGAGUGGAAAAUUAUACAAGUGACGGUAUCUAACCAGAAAGGGACGGCUAACUACGUGCCAGCAGCCGCGGUAAU
rnacentral:rRNA from 1 species